rnacentral:rRNA from 1 species
UACGUAGGGGGCGAGCGUUAUCCGGAAUUAUUGGGCGUAAAGAGUACGUAGGCGGGAGCUUAAGCACAGGGUUUAAGGCAAUGGCUUAACCACUGUAUGCCUUGUGAACUGAGCUUCUUGAGUGCAGGAGGGGAAAGCGGAAUUCCUAGUGUAGCGGUGAAAUGCGUAGAUAUUAGGAGGAACACCAGUGGCGAAGGCGGCUUUCUGGACUGUAACUGACGCUGAGGUACGAAAGUGUGGGGAGCAAACA